rnacentral:rRNA from 1 species
AUUGAACGCUGGCGGCAGGCCUAACACAUGCAAGUCGAACGGUAACAGGAAGAAGCUUGCUUCUUUGCUGACGAGUGGCGGACGGGUGAGUAAUGUCUGGGAAACUGCCUGAUGGAGGGGGAUAACUACUGGAAACGGUAGCUAAUACCGCAUAACGUCGCAAGACCAAAGAGGGGGACCUUCGGGCCUCUUGCCAUCGGAUGUGCCCAGAUGGGAUUAGCUUGUUGGUGRGGUAACGGCUCACCAAGGCGACGAUCCCUAGCUGGUCUGAGAGGAUGACCAGCCACACUGGAACUGAGACACGGUCCAGACUCCUACGGGAGGCAGCAGUGGGGAAUAUUGCACAAUGGGCGCAAGCCUGAUGCAGCCAUGCCGCGUGUAUGAAGAAGGCCUUCGGGUUGUAAAGUACUUUCAGCGGGGAGGAAGGGAGUAAAGUUAAUACCUUUGCUCAUUGACGUUACCCGCAGAAGAAGCACCGGCUAACUCCGUGCCAGCAGCCGCGGUAAUACGGAGGGUGCAAGCGUUAAUCGGAAUUACUGGGCGUAAAGCGCACGCAGGCGGUUGAUUAAGUCAGAUGUGAAAUCCCCGGGCUCAACCUGGGAACUGCAUCUGAUACUGGUCAGCUUGAGUCUCGUAGAGGGGGGUAGAAUUCCAGGUGUAGCGGUGAAAUGCGUAGAGAUCUGGAGGAAUACCGGUGGCGAAGGCGGCCCCUGGACGAGACUGACGCUCAGGUGCGAAAGCGUGGGAGCAAACAGGAUUAAUACCUGGUAGUC